rnacentral:rRNA from 1 species
CGUAGGGAGCAAGCGUUGUCCGGAUUUAUUGGGCGUAAAGAGCUCGUAGGCGGUUAAGUAAGUCAGGUGUGAAACCUCCAGGCUCAACCUGGAGACGCCACUUGAUACUGCUUUGACUUGAGUUCGGUAGGGGUAAGCGGAAUUCCUGGUGUAGCGGUGAAAUGCGCAGAUAUCAGGAGGAACACCGACGGCGAAGGCAGCUUACUGGCCGAUACUGACGCUGAGGAGCGAAAGCGUGGGGAGCGAACAGGAUUAGAUACCCUGGUAGUCCACGCCGUAAACGUUGGGAACUAGGUGUGGGAGGUAAUCAACGCCUUCCGUGCCGUAGCUAACGCAUUAAGUCCGCCGCCUGGGGACUACGGCCGCAAGGCUA